GCCAUCAGAAUUCAAGAUGGUUCAGUUAAAAAAACCAGUGCUAGCGCUUAAAAAAGACUAAAAAAACAAGAGAUGCAAGGUACAGGUGUAAUAAAAGGGAAAGGAUACUAGACAUUGGUAUUCAUUGUGAACGAUGGAGAAGAGUUAAAGAAGCUACUGGGAUUGAAAAGGACGAUAAAAUGAUGGAAAUAUUGAUCGAUGCAACUACUUCUGAACUAGAGAGCUUCAACAUUCAUAUUUUGAUGUAUGCUCCAAAGCGAAAUGCUUUCAGCUAUGCUGUUUAUAGAUGCAGGUGUCAGUUAGCAGCAAUAGAUUAUUCAAAACACUUGAAUCGUCCUGUUUUGUUGGACAAAGAAGGAAAUUAGAGGGGAAAGAGUGCACUCAAAAGCUGCUGGUAAUUGGAGCACAAGACCUAUGAAAAAACCCAAGGAGUAUACAUACAUAACCGGUUUGAUCACUGAAGUUACAAAUGAAUUCACCAUAGGCAAGAAAAGAAUAAGUGGCAAAUGUGAACAGCUGUCUUGACCCCAAAAGAAUUAGGUCAUCUAUAGUCCUUGUCACACCUCCACCUUCAUCGAUACUUAGUGAUCAGCAUGUCUCUAGAUUGAGAAAAGCGAAAAAAAAGAAUUGUUGCCCAAGACGUGUUUGAUGUUCAUUUGAAGUUGACGCAGAAGUUAUCUUUGUUAGAUAACUAUUAAGUUUCACAUCUUUAGUGUUAAUAUAAUUUUAGAAGUGUUUUGAAAAUGUACAAUCUUACAGUCAUAAUGUUAUAAAUAAUGAAUGCUCUUGGUUGUACAAUGCAAUGACAUUUUUCAGGAAGUUUUAAUAUUGAAUUUAGCAUGAAAUAUAUUUUUAUGUCCCCCACUAUAGUAGAGAGGGACAUUUUGUUUUUGCCCUGUCUGUUGGUCUGUCUGUCUGUCUGUUUGCGCCAACUUUAACAUUUUGCAAUAACUUUUGCCAUAUUGAAGAUAGCAACUUGAUAUUUGGCAUGCAUAUGUAUCUCAUGGAGCUGCACAUUUUGAGUGGUGUAAGAUCAAGGUCAUCCUUCAAGGCCAAAGGUCAAAUAUAUGG